rnacentral:lncRNA from 10 species
CAGAUGCGCAGGUGCGCGGACCAGGUCCCGGUUCUGGCGGAUUUGGCCCAGGCACCCCCAGCCCCCAGAUCUGGCCGGGUGCGGCGGCUCAUGCCUGUAAUCCCAGCACUUUGGGAGGCCGAAGCAGGUGGAUCACAUGAAGUCAGAAGUUGGAGACUAGCCUGGCCAACAUGCCAGCCUCCAGCAUCGCCUCCUCUGGGAUCUUCUCUGACUUCCCAGUCGGUUUCAGAAGCCUCUGAUGACCCCAUGCGGAGAAGACUGCUCCCCUCACUGCUGGCACACGGCAGAUGCUCAACUCGGCCGGGCACGGUGGCUCACGCCUGUAAUCCCAGCACUUUGUUGAGACCGAGGCAGGCAGAUCACGAGGUCAGGAGAUCGAGAACAUCCUGGCUAACACGGUGAAACCCCGUCUCUACUAAAAAUACAAAAAAUUAGCCGGGCGUGGUGGCGGGCGCCUGUGGUCCCAGCUACUCGGGAGGCUGAGGCAGGAGAAUGGUGUGAACCCGGG